rnacentral:lncRNA from 1 species
UGAGUCUAGUUUAGUGUCUCUAAGUCUAGUUUGGUAUUUUUGAGUUAUAUUUGUGUAGAUUAGUAGCCCUAGUUAAUCCCCGGUCUACAACGAUCCCUACUUACAUCUUUGCUACAAUUGUCAACAAUAGGGUUUAAUUUGUGUGUCAAGUAAUUUUCACAUCACUAAGGCAUGUUACUACUUUCAAAUGUUGUUUUAAUUGAUUAAAUGAGAGAUAGUGAGUGGUUACUGCGGUUAAGUAUAAGCUCAAGAGUAAGGAUGGCUAAAAUCAAUGUGAGUAGUGAUUUUUAACAUGUCAUGUUUCAUUGGAAAUCCCUGAGGGAAUUGCUGGAAGGUUUAGGUUUUGUUUUGUUUUCCUUGGUUUGCUUGGGGGCUAGCAAAAGUUAAGUGUGGGGGAAUUUGAUGGGAGCAUAUUUAUACGACUU